rnacentral:sRNA from 14 species
AAGACUUGCUGAAAUACUCCCUACCCACACAACAGCAGCAGAGGCAGCAGCAGGACAAGGCAUUCCCUCUGCCUACUAAUUUGCCUGUAUCCUGACCUGAAGUAACUAGGAGGGAAGAUAUUUCUCACACCCUCCCUGUGCCAACU